AGGGAGAAAUCUUGGCUUCUGGCUUCUUUAAAGUGUUUCACAGAUGAAGGGAAUAUCAAGGACAGACUUAAAAGAGGGAAGAAGACUAUUAUUUGAAGCCAGGUGAAGCCUUGAUGACUGGUUUGAAUUCACUGGGAAAAGUGGAAUAAUCAAGAGACUCGGGCUAACUAAAUCCCUCUGGGAGCCUCAGCAGCCGAGGCCAUCACUCAAAAUUAAGGGUGGUAGAUUCUCCUUUGGACCUGUAGGUCCAAUUCAAGAACUAAUGGCUGCCCUGAUCAUUCUGUAGUAUGUGUUGUCUGAUGGAUCCAUAUCUUCCUCUUUGGAAAGCUGGGAACUAGAAAGAAGUAUUCUAUUUGCUAUUACCCAAGGGAUAAUACUACCAGAAUAGCCGGUGGAAUUUGCCUGUUACUUUUCUUAAAAACAA
rnacentral:lncRNA from 1 species